AAAAAUCUAAUGGUAGCUUCCUAAUGCAUACCUGAAAAUAAAAUAAUUGAUUUAGUGUUGCGUUUUUUAGUUCAGUCAUUAUAGGUGUUUCCUUUUCCCUAUCCUAUAAAUGAAUCACUUGCCAAACUUAUAAAUAAUUACUAAUAACAAACCAAGGUCUCUUUAUAAUUUACAAUGAAAAAUUGGCUCAUAGUUUAUGUGCAAAACAAGGAAUGAAAUCAUGCAAACUAUUUUUGAAUCAUAGUUUUUAACAUCUGCAAAGAACGAUAAGAUGAAAAUGUAUUACCAAGUCACUGUGACACAUAAAUAUGAUUCAGAGAUAGAAGGGAUUUAUUUUCGGACAAGCCCACAUUUACAACUUAUAUUGAGAACAUUGAUGAGUAUUGAUUGGUUGAUUGGUUGUUGCCCAGUGGCAAAAUAUUUAAUGUCUACCCAUGACGAC
rnacentral:lncRNA from 1 species